rnacentral:rRNA from 1 species
GACGAACGCUGGCGGCGUGCUUAACACAUGCAAGUCGAACGGAAAGGCCCUGCUUUUGUGGGGUGCUCGAGUGGCGAACGGGUGCGUAACACGUGAGUAACCUGCCCUUGACUUUGGGAUAACUUCACGAAACUGGGGCUAAUCCCGUAUAGGAGCUCCUGCUGCAUGGAGGGGGUUGGAAAGUUGCGGCGGUCGGGGAUGGACUCGCGGCUUAUCAGCUUGCUGGUGGGGUAGUGGCUUACCAAGGCUUUGACGGGUAGCCGGCCUGAGAGGGUGACCGGCGACAUGGGGACUAAGAUACGGCCCAGACUCCUACGUGAGGCAGCAGUGGGGAAUAUUGCACAAUGGGAGGAAGCGUGAUGCAGCAACGCCGCGUGCGGGAUGACGUCCUUCGGGUUGUGAACCGCUUUCGCCUGUGACGAAGCGUGAGUGACGGUAAUGGAUAAAGAAGCACCGGCUAACUACGUG